GGCCUGCACAAACCGGAAGCUGGGCGUGCGCUUCUCGGUCCUGGAAUGAAGACCAGGACCCGCUUGGAGCAAAACGGGCCCGUAGGACAGCUGGGCAUGCGUGGUCGGAGGCCAGGCCCUCCCCUGUUGGGGUGGCGCCUAUGCGUUCUGGGGCGGGGCCUGCGGGAAGAUGGACAGGCGCUGUCGCGGCAUGAGCAGGGGCGGGGCCCAAGAGGCGGGACCUCGGGUGGCCCGAGGUGGCCCGGUUGCUGGGUUGGAAGCGGCGUAGUCCGACUCAUCCCGGCCCCGGGAUGGCGUCCCCACGGGAACUGACCCAGAACCCCCUGAAGAAGAUCUGGAUGCCAUACAGCAAUGGGCGGCCAGCUCUGCACGCGUGCCCGCGGGGUGUUUGCAUGACCAACUGCCCGACGCUCAUUGUCAUGGUGGGCCUGCCUGCCAGGGGCAAGACCUACAUUUCUAAGAAGCUGACUCGAUACCUCAACUGGAUCGGUGUGCCCACUCGGGAAUUCAACGUGGGCCAGUAUCGCCGGGACAUGGUGAAGACGUACAGAUCAUUUGAGUUUUUCCUCCCAAACAACGAAGAGGGCCUGAAAAUAAGGAAACAGUGUGCCCUGGCAGCCCUCCGUGAUGUCCGGCGGUUCCUUAGUGAGGAGGGGGGACAUGUGGCGGUUUUUGAUGCAACGAAUACCACCCGAGAACGGAGAGCGACCAUCUUUAAUUUUGGGGAACAGAAUGGCUACAAGACCUUCUUUGUCGAGUCCAUCUGUGUGGAUCCUGAGGUCAUAGCUGCCAACAUCGUGCAAGUGAAACUGGGCAGCCCUGACUAUGUGAACCGAGACAGUGACGAGGCCACGGAGGAUUUCAUGAGGCGCAUUGAGUGCUAUGAGAACUCGUACGAGUCGCUAGAUGAGGACCUGGACAGGGACCUGUCCUAUAUCAAGAUCAUGGACGUGGGCCAGAGCUACGUGGUGAACCGCGUGGCUGACCACAUCCAGAGCCGCAUCGUGUAUUACCUCAUGAACAUCCACGUGACGCCCCGCUCCAUCUACCUCUGCCGGCACGGGGAGAGUGAGCUCAACCUCAAAGGCCGGAUCGGCGGGGACCCGGGACUGUCCCCCCGGGGCAGGGAGUUUGCCAAGAGUCUGGCCAAGUUCAUCAGUGACCAGAACAUCAAGGAUCUGAAGGUCUGGACAAGCCAGAUGAAGAGGACAAUCCAGACGGCCGAGGCACUGGGUGUGCCCUAUGAGCAGUGGAAGGUCCUCAACGAGAUCGAUGCGGGUGUCUGUGAGGAAAUGACCUACGAGGAAAUUCAGGAUCAUUAUCCACUGGAGUUUGCCCUGCGGGACCAGGACAAGUACCGGUACCGGUACCCCAAGGGAGAGUCCUCUAGGGGCAGCUGCCCACCCCCGCGCCCUCAGGAGCCAGGCUGGAGGAGACCCAGCUUCAGCCAUCCAGGAUGGUGUGCAACGCCAGGAGUGGGAAGGCAGCCUGUUACCCAGGCUGUGUCCAGCCCUCCCUGGAGCCGGGCUGACGGACACCUCCCUGCUUGCCCUGGCAGUCCUAUGAGGACCUGGUCCAGCGACUGGAGCCUGUCAUCAUGGAGCUGGAGAGGCAAGAGAACGUGCUAGUCGUCUGCCACCAGGCAGUGAUGCGCUGCCUCCUGGCCUACUUCCUGGACAAGGCGGCAGAACAGCUGCCCUACCUCAAGUGCCCGCUGCACACUGUCCUGAAGCUGACCCCUGUGGCUUAUGGUUGUAAAGUGGAGUCCAUUUUCCUGAACGUGGCAGCUGUGAACACGCACCGGGACAGGCCUCAGAAUGUAGACAUCUCAAGACCUCCGGAGGAAGCCCUUGUCACAGUCCCUGCUCACCAGUGACCGUUGCAUUCGCCGUGACCCCUGGGCAGGCACUGAUCACUGUAGACAAGGUUUUUCCAGGCCUCCUGGUCUGUGUGAUAGUCACCAUGCAGGAACAUUCUUGAAGCCAUGUGUGGCUGGUGGUGCUCAGAAUCUGCCCCAGCCCACCUCUUUGUUGACCGUGACAAGGUCAUACGUGGUUCCUGACCUGCUGAUAAGGCUCACUCGGCCAGACUGCGCCCGCACGGGCUGGUGAGAGCUUGCCCGGCACCGCGUCCUUCUGUUGCAGCUCUUAGGCGUUCCCUCUCACCGGUCGCUUGGCUUUGUGAAGUGUGAAACUCUAAAAUGUGAAACAGAAAGUGCUUGCUGUUCCUGCUGUGGACCUGCUGUCUGGGGAGGAUCUGGCGACCCCCUGCAGGACCUCUACUGUCCUCUCUGGGCCACUUCAUGAGCCAGAGGUCAGCCUUUCCCAACAGGGACAAAGAGCGGCAGCCAAGGCAGCUGCCUCCUGGGCAGCCACUGGCCAGGCUGUGUACCCAUGUGACUGUAUCUGUGGACACUCGCGAAAGCAGCGUGCUUCAGCAUGUUGUGAUGCACAGAAACGUGCAGAAGGGAGAGUUUGUGGUCACCCCUCCCCAACUGGGAAACUCGGGGGAGCUGGUGGCUACGGUACGCCUUCCGGGCUGCUCUCACACGAAGCCACCUAAAGACAGGACAGCUGUGCGAGUGACCUUCCUGUCGCACACACCGAAGUGCUCAAGGGGGAGGCUGCCAUCGCCUUGUCCCUUCCCUGCUGUGCACACUGGCAGCUGGGGAGGAGGUGGCCUCUCACCUGCUGCUGCCCGUGUCCAUGCAGGAGUGUACACUGGUGGCAGAGACACGCAUUUGCCAUAAAUGAUUCGGAUAAACUCGUUGUGAUCCUAUAAAA